GACGAACGCUGGCGGCGUGCUUAACACAUGCAAGUCGAACGGACAGACAGAGAGCUUGCUCUCUUGAAGUUAGUGGCGAACGGGUGAGUAACGCGUAAUCAACCUGCCCUUCAGAGGGGGAUAACAACGGGAAACCGUUGCUAAUACCGCGUACGAUUCAUGAACGGCAUCGUUUAUGAAUGAAAGGUGGCCUCUAUGUAUAAGCUAUCGCUGAAGGAGGGGAUUGCGUCUGAUUAGCUAGUUGGAGGGGUAACGGCCCACCAAGGCAAUGAUCAGUAGCCGGUCUGAGAGGAUGAACGGCCACAUUGGGACUGAGAAACGGCCCAAACUCCUACGGGGGGUAGCAGUGGGGAAUCUUCCGCAAUGGACGAAAGUCUGACGGAGCAACGCCGCGUGAGUGAUGAAGGUCUUCGGAUUGUAAAGCUCUGUUAAUCGGGACGAAAGAGUUCUGCGUGAAUAAUGCAGAAAAGUGACGGUACCGGAAUAGAAAGCCACGGCUAACUACGUGCCAGCAGCCGCGGUAA
rnacentral:rRNA from 1 species